AUAUUGAUUACUAGGACUCCUCCUAGAAUCACAUUGAUAAAUUAUCUCUUCAGGUGAAAGAAUCAGCACUAGUGAGGAAUGUAUCCAUUUUUCAUUUUAAUUUAGAAUCUUCCUUUGCAAGACGGAAUUUCCAUUAAACCUAAGCAUUGCAAAUACUUCCCUCAUCCAUCCCCUCCCUCCCUACCCCCUCCCUCUCUCUCUGUCUCUCUCACACACACACAAAUGUGGACUCUACAAUAACAACAGUUACAACUGACACUAAUAUGAACAUUAAUUGCAGAUGUACAAUAUGCUGACACUAUGUCAGGUGCUCUGCAAGCAGUAGCUCGCUUACUCCUCAGACAAUGCUAUGACCCAAUGCUAAGCCCCAUUUUACAGAUGAAGAAAUUGAGGCUAAAGCAAAUAGCUUAUUCCUUGCCCAAGAUCACCCAGCUGGUCAGAAGUGGAAAUAACCACAAAUUAUUUCCCACUGUAAGUUCUUCCCUACUCUGAGUCAUCUUGACCUCUCGAUUUAGGGAGAGGAAGUUGAAGAACUGUUUGGGGAAGAUAAAUAUUCUCAUUCAAACCACCAACUGUAGGGAGGUUUUCUGCUGGAUGUGAGAAAUGAGUAGAAUUCUGCAGGAGGAGAAAGUGAGCAGAGCUGGAUGCCCUGUCCCCCUGGACAGCUGUCCCUAGUGGUGCUGCAGUGUCUCACUCGGUCAAGGAGUGCCUGAAAACAACAGCUAAAAUUUAGUGAGCAUUUCCUAUCUGCCACUCAUUACACUGAGAACAUGACAUGGCUUAUUCCCCACGAUCAUCCUAGGCAGAAACCUGCCAAGGGCCAGUUCACAGCCCUUCUGCACCUCUGACUGGAGAAGCCGGAGGAAGGAAAGGAGGAGAGAAAAGACGUGAGUCAGGUUGUUUGCUAGAAGAAGGGGC